CUUUGAUAUUAUGGUUUAUCUUUCAAUUCAUCUUUCACAUAAGGCUAGAUUGGGUGAGCCAGUACACACAAGAUGGAUGUACCCAAUUGAAAGAUAAUUGUAUGAUAUUAUAAUAUUUACUAUUCAUUAUUGUAUUUCUUAUUAUAUAUGUAUAUCAAUUGAUAAUUUAUUGGAUAGGGAGAUAUAAGAAUACAAAAGUGCUAUCGCUAACAAAGCACGGCUUGAAGGUUCAAUAGCGGAGGCACACGUUAUGA
rnacentral:lncRNA from 1 species